rnacentral:rRNA from 1 species
AUGAAGGCGGAGAAGGCAGCGGUGGCCGCGGCCGCCGUCGGGGGCGACGAGUGGCGGUGCCGGAAGCACCCCGCGGCGAGAUCCGGCGGCGGGGUGUGCCCGUACUGCCUCCGCGACCGGCUGCUGCGGCUCUGCCCCAACUGCGCGCGCGUGCGGCCCUGCCCCUGCACCUGCGCCUCCCCAUCCUCCUCCUCCUCGGCGUCCGGCGACGCCGUCGGCCGGGUGCACAGCCUCAUCGAGCGGGAGCACCGGGUGGCGCGCUCGCGCUCCGUCGCCGCGUCCUCCUCCGCCGCGAUGGCCUCCGUCGCCGCGGCCGCCUCCGCCUCCGGGAGGCGAAAGGCGAGGGUCUGGGGGUGGGCGCCGUUCUGGAGGUCCUCUGCCAAGGACGGGAGCGCGGCGGAGGAGGAGGACGAGGAGGAGAGGCUGGGGCUGGCGAGGUCCAGCUCGGUCUCGGCGACGGCCGUGGAGGCCAAGGCGGUGGCGGCCAAGGCGGCGGCGACCAAGGCGCGGUGGGGGUGGCACUUCCCGAGCCCCAUGAAGGCGUUCCGGCACCGGAGGUCGUCGGCGAGCAUGCCGGAGCGGGGGUGA